rnacentral:rRNA from 1 species
CUGCACCUACGGGAGGCAGCAGUGGGGAAUAUUGGGCAAUGGGCGCAAGCCUGACCCAGCGACGCCGCGUGCGGGAUGGAGGCCUUCGGGUUGUAAACCGCUUUUGUUCAAGGGCAAGGCACGGUCUUUGGCCGUGUUGAGUGGAUUGUUCGAAUAAGCACCGGCUAACUACGUGCCAGCAGCCGCGGUAAUACGUAGGGUGCAAGCGUUAUCCGGAUUUAUUGGGCGUAAAGGGCUCGUAGGCGGUUCGUCGCGUCCGGUGUGAAAGUCCAUCACUUAACGGUGGAUCCGCGCCGGGUACGGGC